rnacentral:rRNA from 1 species
GAGUUUGAUCCUGGCUCAGAUUGAACGCUGGCGGCAGGCCUAACACAUGCAAGUCGAGCGGAUGACGGGAGCUUGCUCCUUGAUUCAGCGGCGGACGGGUGAGUAAUGCCUAGGAAUCUGCCUGGUAGUGGGGGGACAACGUUUCGAAAGGAACGCUAAUACCGCAUACGUCCUACGGGAGAAAGCAGGGGACCUUCGGGCCUUGCGCUAUCAGAUGAGCCUAGGUCGGAUUAGCUAGUUGGUGGGGUAAUGGCUCACCAAGGCGACGAUCCGUAACUGGUCUGAGAGGAUGAUCAGUCACACUGGAACUGAGACACGGUCCAGACUCCUACGGGAGGCAGCAGUGGGGAAUAUUGGACAAUAGGGCGGAAAGACCUGAUCC